AGUCAAUGAUGAGGACAUAUUCUCAACAAAUCCUUAAAUCUCUCCCAUGUAUCCUAAAGCAUCUCAAUACCAAACUGAAGAAAAGAAGAGAUUUCAUUCCUCAACUU
rfam:Gossypium hirsutum cultivar TM-1 chromosome 9, whole genome shotgun sequence